rnacentral:lncRNA from 1 species
GUGGAGAAGCUGCAAAUAUCAAUUGUAGUGUUUGGUUUUGACGGAGGUUUGAACUCACGAAUACCCGCACCUAUGCGGUAUCAGCCACAAAGGGCUGCAUGAACUAAUAUUAUAACUGCUUUAGAUGUUGACACGAGGACUAAAGCACAUACAUGUACAACGGGUUGUCUGAUGCGUCUGAAAAUUUUAGGGCAGAAAGAUCGUGAAAAGUUCAGCCACGAGAGUCUAAUACUGGCCGUGGAUAAGUUCUCGGAGAAGCCAGUCCCUAGUCCACCUUCUCCUCUGCCGUCAUCACAUCUACGUCUGUCAUUCAGUAGAUCGCCCACUGCCUGGUAUUUUGUGCCUUAUCAAUAUCCAAUUCCAGUCAAUUAAUUGCAAGC